rnacentral:misc_RNA from 1 species
GAUGAAGAACGUAGCGAAAUGCGAUAAGUAGUGUGAAUUGCAGAAUUCAGUGAAUCAUCGAAUCUUUGAACGCACAUUGCGCCCCUUGGUAUUCCAUGGGGCAUGCCUGUUCGAGCGUCAUUUGUACCUUCAAGCUCUGCUUGGUGUUGGGUGUUUGUCCUUGCUCUAGUGGCGGGACUCGCCUUAAAGUAAUUGGCAGCCAGUGUUUUGGUUUUGAAGCGCAGCACAAGUCGCGAUUCAAGUCUAUACGCUUGUUUCCACAAGUCUUUUAUCACUUUUGACCUCGGAUCAGGUAGGGAUACCCGCUGAACUUAAGCAUAUCAAUAAGCGGAGGA